UACAGAGGUCUCAAGCGUUGUUCGGAUUCAUUGGGCGUAAAGGGUGCGUAGGUGGCAUGGUAAGUCAGAUGUGAAAGUCCUGGGCUUAACCUGGGGACUGCAUUUGAUACUGGGUUGCUUGAAUUCGGGAGAGGAUAGCGGAAUUCCCAGUGUAGAGGUGAAAUUCGUAGAUAUUGGGAAGAACACCGGUGGCGAAGGCGGCUAUCUGGACCGACAUUGACGCUGAGGCGCGAAAGCGUGGGGAGCAAACAGG
rnacentral:rRNA from 1 species